GUUAGAACAAGGGCAGUCAGAGAAACUGUCAGAAAAUACUGUGGGCCAGACUGUGCUUUCUGCUAGAAGAGCCUCACUGAAAAUAGUAGUAGUACUACUGCUACUAUUUAAAAAGACCAAACCAACAAACCCCCAUGCUUUAGAGUGCACUCAUUGGGAAGUCUGAUAGAAUUUUCUGAAGAAAUUGAAGUGUUCAAAGCUGGCUGGCCAACAGUGUGCUCCAGCCAGGAAUAACAGAAUAGGACUUUGGCUCUUUUUUGUUGGGUUUUUUUUUUUUGGAAGCAGGGCCAUGAUUAAGAGCAAUGGUUUAGGGCAUUCAUAUUGUACCACUUGAACUGGAAUUCUUGGGCCAGUGCAAGAUGAACUAAAGCAAAAGCAUUUGCCAAGAAUGUUUUCAUUAAUCAACAACAAAAGCUGGAGGCUUAUGGCCAACUCACUAUCAGGUGGCCUUACUCACAUCAUCUGCCAGGCAGCUUGUAGCACACCCAAGUCUUUAGGUUC
rnacentral:ncRNA from 1 species